UACGUAGGCAGCAAGCGUUGUUCGGAGUUACUGGGCGUAAAGAGUGCGUAGGCGGUGCUCUAAGUUUGGUGUGAAAUCUCCCGGCUUAACUGGGAGGGUGCGCCGAAAACUGGAGUGCUUGAGUAUGGGAGAGGCAAGCGGAAUUCCUGGUGUAGCGGUGAAAUGCGCAGAUAUCAGGAGGAACACCCGUGGCGAAGGCGGCUCUCUGGGACGGUACUGACGCUGAGACGCGAAAGCGUGGGGAGCGAACAGG
rnacentral:rRNA from 1 species